GAGUUUUAGGGUUUUGUUUUGGUGUUUGUUUGUUUGUUUGUUUGUUUUUCCUGAAUGAGAAUUCAGUUUCAGAUAGGUCAUGGGAACUGGUGCUCUGAGGAAGGUAACUUACUCGUCCAUUUUAUCAAAGUUUUAAUUUUAUCUGCAGAAGCUUUUAAGCCACUUCGUUGGUUUCAGAGUGGUGAUGGUAAGCUGUAAACAACCAGGCACCUGCAAAGUAUUUAAGUUGAAGGUCAGGGAUUCAGGCAUCGAGAGGUUUGAAUGUGCUGUUCUACUCGAAAAACACAUCUAAAAAAAAAAAAAAAAAACAAAAAACAAAAAACAAAAAACGUUGUAACUAAAGGACUUUUCGUUGGCAGUUAAUGAAUUAGAAAAGUAUCCUAUGAUCUGCCCCAACAACUUGUCAAAUGCUUCACUUCAUUUAGAACAUUCUGCAUACCACCUAUUGCUUCACAUUGACAAGAGGUGUUCUAUUUCUUUCUCUUUUUUCUUUUUCUUUUGGUGACCUGGAACUAGAUCAAAUGCCAAAUGUACAAACUUUCUUAAUAGUUGGGACUAUAUCCUCUGAAGUCAUCCUAUUUUAGCUAAAUCUUUUUAACUUCACCGGCAUAUCUGUGAAAGAAAAGUGUUCAGAAAAGAAUAGUACAUUUUAAAAAGGUGUGAUUUUAAAACAGUUGUUAAUAUUUUAAAAAGCACUAGAGGUAUUUUUAAAAAUAGAUCUCUUCCAUCAAAAUUGAUUUGUUUCUGUUAUUGACUUGAGAUAUCAUCAGAGUUUCUAAUAAAAUACAUUUGUAAAAGAACACAUUAUUUUAUAGAAAAGUAUGACCAGAUUUCAUUGUUGGAGAUCCAGGGAUGAACAAAUAAAAAGAUUUACAAAGGUUGUUUUUCUAAUAAUCUGCUCAAACAGAAAUGUUGCAGGCAAAUACAUUUGUAUUAUAUAAUAAUGGAUAAUGUAUGUAUUAAGAAUUUAAGCAUUUGUUUUGUACUAAGUAAAUCCUUGCCC
rnacentral:lncRNA from 1 species